AAGCUCGUAGUUGAAUUUCGGGGUUCUACCGUUGGUCGGGCUAACAAGUCUGUACUAGCGUGUAGAAUCUCUACCUUCUGGGGAACCAUCAUGUUAUUAAUUUAGCGUGGUGGGAAACCAGGACCUUUACCUUGAAAAAAUUAGAGUGUUCAAAGCAGGCUUACGUCUGAAUACAUUAGCAUGGAAUUAUAAAAUAGGACGGUGGUCCUGUUUUGUUGGUUUCUGAAUCACCGUUAUGAUUAAUAGGGAUAGUUGGG
rnacentral:rRNA from 1 species